rnacentral:tRNA from 1 species
GCCUGAGUGGCUCAGUCGGUUGAGCAUCUGACUCUUGGUUUCAGCUCAGGUCAUGAUUCCAGGGUCGUGGGAUCGAGCCCCAUGUCAUGCU